GAUGAACGCUGGCGGCGUGCUUAACACAUGCAAGUCGAACGGAGAAUUGAAGCUUGCUUUAAUUCUUAGUGGCGGACGGGUGAGUAACGCGUGGGUAACCUGCCCUUAAGUGGGGGACAACAGUUGGAAACGACUGCUAAUACCGCAUAAAGUUGAGAGUCUGCAUGGACUUUUAACCAAAGGAGUAAUCCGCUUUUGGAUGGACCCGCGUCUGAUUAGCUAGUUGGUGAGGUAACGGCUCACCAAGGCGACGAUCAGUAGCCGGCCUGAGAGGGUGAUCGGCCACACUGGGACUGAGACACGGCCCAGACUCCUGCGGGAGGCAGCAGUGGGGAAUCUUCCGCAAUGGACGAAAGUCUGACGGAGCAACGCCGCGUGAGGGAUGAAGGCCUUCGGGUUGUAAACCUCUGUCUUCAGGGAAGAAAAAAAUGACGGUACCUGAGGAGGAAGCCCCGGCUAACUACGUGCCAGCCGCCGCGGUAAGAC
rnacentral:rRNA from 1 species